rnacentral:rRNA from 1 species
AAUUGACGGGGGCCCGCACAAGCGGUGGAGCAUGUGGUUUAAUUCGAUGCAACGCGAAGAACCUUACCUACUCUUGACAUCCAGAGAACUUUCCAGAGAUGGAUUGGUGCCUUCGGGAACUCUGAGACAGGUGCUGCAUGGCUGUCGUCAGCUCGUGUUGUGAAAUGUUGGGUUAAGUCCCGCAACGAGCGCAACCCUUAUCCUUGUUUGCCAGCACGUAAUGGUGGGAACUCCAGGGAGACUGCCGGUGAUAAACCGGAGGAAGGUGGGGACGACGUCAAGUCAUCAUGGCCCUUACGAGUAGGGCUACACACGUGCUACAAUGGCGUAUACAGAGGGCUGCCAACUAGCGAUAGUGAGCGAAUCCCAGAAAGUACGUCGUAGUCCGGAUUGGAGUCUGCAACUCGACUCCAUGAAGUCGGAAUCGCUAGUAAUCGUGAAUCAGAAUGUCACGGUGAAUACGUUCCCGGGCCUUGUACACACCGCCCGUCACACCAUGGGAGUGGGCUGCACCAGAAGUAGAUAGCUUAACCUUCGGGAGGGCGUUUACCACGGUGUGGUUCAUGACUGGGGUGAAGUCGUAACAAGGUAACCAAGGGCG